GCGGGAGUGGUGAAAUUGGCAGACACGCAGGAUUUAGGUUCCUGUGCCGACAGGCGUGAGGGUUCGAGUCCCUUCUCCCGCAC
rnacentral:tRNA from 1 species